AGAGUUUGAUCCUGGCUCAGAUUGAACGCUGGCGGCAUGCCUUACACAUGCAAGUCGAACGGCAGCACGGGUGCUUGCACCUGGUGGCGAGUGGCGAACGGGUGAGUAAUACAUCGGAACAUGUCCUGUAGUGGGGGAUAGCCCGGCGAAAGCCGGAUUAAUACCGCAUACGAUCUAUGGAUGAAAGCGGGGGACCUUCGGGCCUCGCGCUAUAGGGUUGGCCGAUGGCUGAUUAGCUAGUUGGUGGGGUAAAGGCCUACCAAGGCGACGAUCAGUAGCUGGUCUGAGAGGACGACCAGCCACACUGGGACUGAGACACGGCCCAGACUCCUACGGGAGGCAGCAGUGGGGAAUUUUGGACAAUGGGCGAAAGCCUGAUCCAGCAAUGCCGCGUGUGUGAAGAAGGCCUUCGGGUUGUAAAGCACUUUUGUCCGGAAAGAAAUCCUUGGCUCUAAUACAGUCGGGGGAUGACGGUACCGGAAGAAUAAGCACCGGCUAACUACGUGCCAGCAGCCGCGGUAAUACGUAGGGUGCAAGCGUUAAUCGGAAUUACUGGGCGUAAAGCGUGCGCAGGCGGUUUGCUAAGACCGAUGUGAAAUUCCCCGGGCUCAACCUGGGAACUGCAUUGGUGGCUGGCAGGCUAGAGUAUGGCAGAGGGGGGUAGAAUUCCAAUUGCAGCAGUGAAAUGCGUAGAGAUGUGGAGGAAUACCGAUGGCGAAGGCAGCCCCCUGGGCCAAUACUGACGCUCAUGCACGAAAGCGUGGGGA
rnacentral:rRNA from 1 species